rnacentral:lncRNA from 1 species
AUUUUUUUUUCCCCAGCAGAAGUUAAAUGCCCUCCUUCAAAGCAGGUGGUUCUGGCUGGAUGAUCAGAAGUGCGGCUGAUCAGGCCCCUGUCGAAUGGCCAGAGAGAAGCCAUCUGGGAUCCCUUCAGUGCCCCUGUGUGUGGGCUUGGCUGGCCUCAUGAACCACACAGGGGUAGGAGCACCUGAUUUGCCGGCUGGGCAUUGGCCUCUCUGUGGCUGAAGAUACAAUGCAUUGGUAGAAAAUGUGAGGUUCGAUUUUUAAUCACCAAUCCAGUCCAGUGAAUGGCUCCUGUUAUUUGUUGCAUGAGAAGAGGAAGAAGAAGAAGAAGGAGAAGAAGAAGAGAAAGAGAAAGAAAGAAAGAAAGAAGAUAGAAGAAGGGGAAGGGAAAGGGGGAGAAGGUGAGGAAACUGAUCAGUGAAUCUGCAUUUCCUGCCCGGGCAGUAGUGGAACUUGGAUUAGAGACCUGGGUCUUUGGGCUUUUUUACCCAAGGGCCUCCACCUGGUGACACCGGGCUUGAAACUUUCACCUGCCCACCUGGCCACACAGACCACGCACCUGUUGUGCAAGAGCCCAAGAGGAAAACGCCCUGGAGCCUCACAGCAAUAUGUGAAAGGAGCAGAAUAUAUUCUGCAGAAUAUAUUCCAGGAGCAGAAGAAAACAGCAAGCUAGGAAAAGCAAGAGGCAGCGCUGGGGACUCACCUGCCCAUAUGGUGAUUCCUAUCUCUUCCCCAGACCUAAGAAGUCUGUCGUCGCUCCCUUCCCAUGUGCCACUUCUUGGUUUUAUUACUCCUUGAAGUUUAGUAUUAAAAUUUAAUCGCCUCUAGAAAAGACACAAUUAUGAAGAAAAUCAAAAGGAUCAGUGGUGCCAGGAGGUAGACCUGGUCGACCAGGUCGACCACCUGGUCUCCCUAACAGGAGGUAGUGGGGAGGAAGGCAUGAGUCGGCAGAGCACAGGGGGUUUCUAGGGCAGUGAGGUGAUUCCACAUAUUACCAUAACAGGGGAUACAGGUCAUUACACAUUUGGCCAAACCCACGGAAUGUCCAGCACCAGGAGUGACCCUAAGGUGAACCGUGGACUCCAGGUGAUGAUGAUGGGCCAGUGCAGGAUCCUUGAUCAUAUCAGAUGUCCCCCUCUGGUGGGGAGUUGAUAAUGGGGGAAGUUGUGCCUGUGCGGGGGCCGGGAGGGGCUGGGAAUUCUCUUUUCCUUCCUCUCAAUUUUGCUGUGAACCCAAACCUGCUCUAAAAAAAAAUCAAGCCUAUUAAUAAAACACAUAACAUGGUAAUACUAUAAACAUAUUUAAUUGGCUAACAAGGAUCUAAUGUAAUACUGGGCAAUUCCUAUCUCUAUGUGAAUUCAUCAUGGCUGCCUAGAAUGGAUCGGAGUUUUGGAGAAGCGAGGAGACAAUUU